rnacentral:rRNA from 1 species
GACGAACGCUGGCGGCGUGCCUAAUACAUGCGAGUUGAGCGCUGAAGGUUGGUACUUGUACCGACUGGAUGAGCAGCGAACGGGUGAGUAACGCGUGGGGAAUCUGCCUUUGAGCGGGGGACAACAUUUGGAAACGAAUGCUAAUACCGCAUAAAAACUUUAAACACAAGUUUUAAGUUUGAAAGAUGCAAUUGCAUCACUCAAAGAUGAUCCCGCGUUGUAUUAGCUAGUUGGUGAGGUAAAGGCUCACCAAGGCGAUGAUACAUAGCCGACCUGAGAGGGGGAUCGGCCACAUUGGGACUGAGACACGGCCCAAACUCCUACGGGAGGCAGCAGUAGGGAAUCUUCGGCAAUGGACGAAAGUCUGACCGAGCAACGCCGCGUGAGUGAAGAAGGUUUUCGGAUCGUAAAACUCUGUUGGUAGAGAAGAACGUUGGUGAGAGUGGAAAGCUCAUCAAGUGACGGUAACUACCCAGAAAGGGACGGCUAACUACGUG